UGUGUGUCCACGUGGAGAAGCGGGGAGUGAGCCGGCACCUGAGCUGGGGUUGGUGUGUGUGUGUGUGUGUGUGUGUGUGUAACUAUGUGCCAGGGGAGACAAAGACUGGCUGAAACUGCAAACCCGCACACAAGCCCAGUGGGCUGAGGGCCGAGGGGUCACUGCCGCUUGCCGACUGGCCUGCUGUGUGCCAAGCAGGGGCACUGAGUAAGAAUGACCAGGUACCCAGCCUUCUGGAUAAAAAGGCAAUCAAAUAUAUAGGUGUAAAAAUCUCAGAAGUGAUGGGCUCUGGAGGGAAAAAAAGGGACGCAGCUGGAGGCCAAGUCCCACAUGGGGACCCGGAAGCCCUCUCCCAGGCCGCUGGGGCUGCGGGAAGGGCAUCCCAGAGCAAGCAGCACCCGGCAAGGGGCAGAGGAGCGGAGGCAUGGCGCGCAUCGAGAACGAGGAGGCGGGAAGGCAGGCGCGCUCUGCUCAUGGCUGGGGGUGUGGGGGGGUCUUGGAUGGAGCUGGCCUCUUCUCCCACUGGCCCUCCUGGAGCGGAGGCCCCUGGAAGCCUUUGAGAGUCAGCACGGCAGCCUGCCCAUUAGAAGGCACGGGAGGGGCUGGGGUGUGGCCAGUGGCUUAAACCACCUGCGACACCUGCUUCCAAUAUGACCGCAGGUUUGAGUCCUGGCUGCUCCACUUCCCAUCCAGCUCCCUGCUAAUGUGCUUGGGAAAGCAGCGGAGGGUUGCCUAAGUGCUUGGGCCCCUGCACCCAUGUGGGAGACCCAGAUGGAGCUCCUGGCUCUUGGCGUCAGUCUGGCCCAGCCCUGGCUGUUAUGGCUAUUUGGGGAAUGAACAAGAGGAUGGAAGACCUCUUUAUCAUCUCCCUCUCUCUGUCACUAUGCCUUUCAAAUAAAUAAAUAAUUUUCUAAAAAAGAGGCAUAGUAAAUGUUUUCUGGGUAAAUAUUUUUCUUAAAGAUUGAUUUAUUUGGAAAGCAGAGUGACAGAGAGAGCAAGAGAGAGGGAGACAGAGAGAGUGAGUGAGCCUCUAUUCACUGGUUUACUCCCCAGCUGCCCACACCAGCCAGGGUUGGGCUAGGCUGAAGCUAGCAGCCAGGAGCUCCAUCCAGGUCUCCCAUGUGGUGGCAGGGGCCCAAGUGCUUGGGCCAUCAUCUGUAGCUCCCAGGUGCAUUAGCAGGUAGCUGGAUUGGAAGUGGAGGGGCUAGAACUUGAAUCAGCUCAACAAACCCACUGUGUCACAAUGACCCGGCUGCUCACUGGGGACCCAGAGAUCUCAGUACACUUUUCCAUUUUAAGUCUCCCGCUGAUUCACCAAGCACUGCUGAGGAGCCAGCACAGGCCUGGGAGUCGGGAGACAGGAGCCCCUGCUUUCCCAUUCAUCACCCACGCACCGCUUCCUGGGCACCUGCUCUGUGCUGGGCUGAGCACGUGGAGAGGAGAGCACAGCACGAACUGGUAGAGAUGUGGGCCCUGCCCUCAUCCACGGGGAGUGGGGACACGAGAGGAUCCAGUCAAAGGCACACACCCACAAGAGCUGAACAGAGGGGACUGAGACAGGUGUCCCUACACCAGUGUGCAAGAGCACAUUGGUCACUGUAGCCAACAGCUGGAAACAAGCCACAUGUCCCUCUCUGGAUACAGGAGUACGCAACGUGCGGGUUAUCCAUGGAAUAGGACACGCCCACUCCUCACCCCUGAAACGGAGGGAAAGCCCGGAACACGUCGCAGCCUAGCUUUCUGCUAAUGGGUGUCCCGAGAGGCAGUGGGAAUUUGCUGCUUAGGGCGAUCUGUGUUCGGUGACGAAGUUUGUAAGUAAGAAGAGCUGGAACUCAAAGGUCAGUGUGGGUCCAGGGCUGUGGUAGAGGGGGUUAAGCUGCCGCCUGGGACGCCAGCAUCCCGUACCAGAGCCAGCUGGAGUCCCGACUCCUCGCUUCUGAUCCAGCUUCCUGCUAACUGCCUGGGAAGGCAGCAAGUACUGGAGUCCCUGCCACCCAAGUGGAAGACAGAGUUCCUGACUCCUGGCUUUGGCCUGGCCCAGCUCUGGCUAAGAAGGCAUUUGUCCCUCAACCAAUAAACAACCAUCUCACCUCAAGGUCUGUUUGCUCUAAGUUGUUAAUAUGCACUGACUUACAGCCCUGCUUUGCAAAGUCUUUUUUAAAAAUCACAAAUGUGCUUUGAUUGCAUCAAAAUUUUUUUCUGAAAUAAUGGAAAUAGCAUGUUUUCCUGUUAUUGUGAAUUCACUGAUAGUUUUUCUUAUGUGGAAGCAAGUUGAAUUUCUGAAAUGUAAACUUUUUUUUUUUUUUUAAAGACAACCCAGUUUAUUUUAUUUAUUUAUUUGAAAGGCAGAGUGAGAGAGGGAGAGACAAGAGAGAGCAGGACAGGCUGAAGUCAUGAGCCUGGAACUCCAUUUGGGUCUCCCACAUGGGUGCAGAGGCCCAAGCACUUGGGUUAUCAUCUGCUGCCUUGCCAGGUGCAUUAGCAGGGAGCUGGAUCCAAAGUGGAACAGCUGGGAGCCCAGCUAGUACUCUGACAUGGAACACUCGUGUAACAAAUGACAGCUUAACCCACUGUGCCAUAUGUCAGCCCAACACGCUGCUUUGCUGGACGCUGGCUUUGGUUUGCUGAAACUCUUAGAACUGGAUGCAUCCCUAAUCAUGAACAGAUAGGGCAAUCCUUUUAUUUUACUCUCACUCGGCUCUGGUGUCAGGGUUACUAAAGUAUCCAAACCCAGGGGAAGUUCUGCACGGGUCCCUCUGAAACCAAGGGUCUGGUGUUAUUAUUUUUUUUUUCUUUGGCAGGAGGAUUGUUUGCUACUGAUUCAGAUUCUUUAAGCCUCAGAGGACAUUCAAGUUUUCUCUUUCUCCUUAAGCCACUGUGCUGUUAAUUUUUAGUAAUGUGCUCCUUUAAAAUUUUUUAAAAGAUUAUUUAUUUAUUUAUUUGAGAGGCAGAGUUGCAGAAAGAGGGAGGGAGAGACAGAGAGAGAGAGAGAGAGAAAUCUUCCUCCUGCUGGUUCACUCACCAAAUGGCUGCAAAUCCCAGAGCUGGGUUGAUCCGAAGCCAGGAGCCAGGAGCUUCUUCAGGGUCUUCCACGUAGGUACAGGGGCCCAAGAACUUGGGCCAUCUUCUACUGCUUUCCCAGGCCAUAGCAGAGACCUGGAUCGGAAGUGGAGCAGCCAGAACAAUAGGCACCUAUAUAGGAUUCCAACGAUGCAGGCAGAGGAUUAACCUAAGAAAGCCACAGCUCCGACCCCUGUUCCUUUUAAAUUUUAUUGGAACAAAAUCAUCCAUAAUCUUCUUUAAAAACUACAUGAGAUUAAGUUGUGCAUUAUCUCCAUUUUUUAAAAAAAAUUUAUUUGAAAGUCAG